CAAGCCCAACCCUUUCAUUUCUUUCCAGCAAUUUUCAUGUCGCCAAAACCCUAAACCCUACCAUCGAUUUUCCUAUAAGAACUCCACACAAACAGGGCAGCCAUCUCAUUCAAGCCCUAAUUCGUGAGCGAGGUACGUUUUCAAUUUCCAUUGCAAUUCACGUUUGUAAUCGUCAUCGCAUUUCACGUGUUUGCGCGACGGGGAUGGACGGUAGGCUCAGUAGGCUGCCGUCGGCAAGUGUGGAGGAUACGGCAUAGCUUGCAAUUUAAAUCCUGGUUUGCUUUGGCUAGGAAAUCUUUUUUUAUGCUAAUUGUUUUCUUAUUCGCUGUUUCUCGUAUUUCGAUCCAUUCUUUGCUUUACUCAUUAGAAACUUGUUGUUUUACUUGUUCUUAAUUGGAGAUUAAUGAUUUGGUUGUGAAUUUUAUUGGUGUUUCGUUUUUCUGCUUGCGAUAGAUUGCCGGAAAUAGCACUCGACAAAAUUGGUAUUGGGUGUCUAGGGUUUCUACAGUGAAGUUUAGAACUGCUGUAGAGCUAGAAAUACAUUUCCCCAAAUGUUAAGUUUUCAGAUCCAAUCGACACAAUAUGGCUAUGUCAAGAGAUACAGAUGUUUUCAAUUUUCUUAUUGAUACUUUAUUUUAUCAUUAAAUUCAAUUUUUUUAUAUGAAAAAACAGCUCAAAAUGUGAUAUUUUUGGAAAAAUCAUUGAUAAAUUGUGUUGAGACUUUCAAAUGUUAGUUGGGAAUAUCACAUAUUGAAUCUCAACUUUCGACAUUUCGUUGCAGCUCGUAAUAUAUAUUCAACCUUAUCGCCAGGCUUUAGUCAUGUGUCCAUCUCGACUAGAUAGUGCUGAUACAGUUACAAGUCUGGAACAUGGAAAUGUAUCCCUCGUUACAGGUACAUGAAUUGAACAGCCAAAUCAUUUUAUCGAGCGGGAUCUCCCAUUUUGAAUCUCACUUUUCGCAAUUUGGCACAGGUUUCCCCUUUGAGAAUUUCUUUUUCUAAUGAUCUUUUAUCGGACUUUUUUACCUCCAGGCGUUAGUCAUGUAUCCAUAUUCAUAUAAUUGUGCUGAUACAGUUACAUGUCUGGAACAUUGUUUUUGUGAUCCCUCGUUACAGGUGUUGCUUUUUCCGUUUCGUGCUUACACCUGCUCCAUAAGGAUCACACAUCUUUAAUCUUGGUAGUAAGGUUUUUCCUUUUUUUUUUUUUUCUCAUAAAGUUGGAUUUUAAAUUGUAUUUUAAAUAAGUUUUGUGUAAUUAUAUACCUUUUCCAUCCAUGACAUUUGUGCUUAUUUUGGCUGAAUAUUGAUUUUAAUGAAUAUAUGUUUAUGUUAGUUGACUUUGAUGUAAUUAGUGGUAUUUUAACAAGUAUAUGUGAGUUAAAUGAGGUUAGAGAAAACUUUUGAUAAUUGGGUAAAUAGUAGUGAUAUAUUUGUAAAUAAGUCUGUAAUGUUGAUGGGUAUAGAUUGAUAAAUGUGUAAAUAAUUAUUUGCUAUAAAUAAAAUAAAAGGAAAAUUCUGGACAAAAAAAAAAAAAAGAAUGAGUGAAGAUUUGUUUGAAAGAGAUAU